rnacentral:rRNA from 1 species
AGCAGCCGCGGUAAUUCCAGCUCCAAUAGCGUAUAUUAAAGUUGUUGCAGUUAAAAAGCUCGUAGUUGAAUUUCGGGGUUAGUAGGUUGGUCAUGCCUCUGGUAUGUACUGGUCUCACUGAUUCCUCCUUCCUGAUGAACCUUAAUGCCAUUAAUUUGGUGUUUUGGGGAAUUUGGACUGUUACUUUGAAAAAUUAGAGUGUUUAAAGCAAGCUAACGCUUGAAUACAUUAGCAUGGAAUAAUGAAAUAGGACGUUCGAUCCUAUUUUGUUGGUUUCUAGGAUCGACGUAAUGAUUAAUAGGGAUAGUUGGGGGCAUUAGUAUUCAAUUGUCAGAGGUGAAAUUCUUGGAUUUAUUGAAGACUAACUACUGCGAAAGCAUUUGCCAAGGAUGUUUUCAUUAAUCAAGAACGAAAGUUAGGGGAUCGAAGACGAUCAGAUACCGUCGUAGUCUUAACCAUAAACUAUGACCGACUAGGGAUCGGAUGAUGUUAAUUUUUAAUGUACUC